rnacentral:rRNA from 1 species
CAAUAGCGUAUAUUAAAGUUGUUGCAGUUAAAAAGCUCGUAGUUGGAUUUCUGGUGGGAGCGAUCGGUCUGGCGCUUAGCGCGAGUACUUGCAUCGUCUCCGGCCAUCCUUGGGGAGAGUCUGUCUGGCAUUAGGUUGUCGGGCAGAGGAUCCUCAUCGUUUACUGAGAAAAAAUUAGAGUGUUCAAAGCAGGCUUAUGCCGUUGAAUAUAUUAGCAUGGAAUAAUAAGAUAGGACUUUGGUACUAUUUUGUUGGUUUGCGCACCAAAGUAAUGAUUAAUAGGGACAGUUGGGGGUAUUCGUAUUCCGUUGUCAGAGGUGAAAUUCUUGGAUUUACGGAAGACGAACUACUGCGAAAGCAUUUACCAAGGAUGUUUUCAUUAA